rnacentral:rRNA from 1 species
AACGAACGCUGGCGGCGCGCCUAAUACAUGCAAGUCGAACGAGAAGCUGUAGCAAUACAGUUGUACAGUGGCGAACGGGUGAGGAAUACAUGGGUGACCUACCCUCGAGUGGGGAAUAACCAGCCGAAAGGUUGGCUAAUACCGCGUGCGCUUCCCAGUCUACGGGUUGGGAAGGAAAGCGAUGCCGUGGGUAUCGCGCUCAAGGUUGGGCUCAUGUCCUAUCAGCUGUUGGUGGGGUAACGGCUCACCAAGGCAACGACGGGUAGCUGGUCUGAGAGGACGAUCAGCCACACUGGCACUGCGACACGGGCCAGACUCCUACGGGAGGCAGCAGUAAGGAAUAUUGCGCAAUGGGCGAAAGCCUGACGCAGCGACGCCGCGUGGGGGA